GCACUACUGAGGAGUCCCGCAAUAGGGCGAAACGGCCGUCCAGUGC
rnacentral:hammerhead_ribozyme from 1 species